rnacentral:tRNA from 1 species
GGGCCUGUAGCUCAGUUGGUAGAGCGCCACGUUUACACCGUGGAUGUCGUCGGUUCGAGGCCGGCCGGGCCCA